GCGGCCGGUCUGCAGUCGGAGACUUGCAGGCAGCAAACACGGUGCGAACGAACAGGAAGGGGGAAAAAUUAAAAAAAGCUAAACGUGGAGCAGUCGACCGGGGACCGAGAAGGGGAAUCAAGGCAAGGAGCGCAAUUAAAAAAAAAAAUCCUACUUCGGAGCAAACAGCAUUUAAAAAGCUACGACUCAAGAUAACUGAAACCUAAAAUAAAACCUGCUCAUGCACCAUGGUUUUUCAAACUCGGUACCCUUCAUGGAUUAUUUUAUGCUACAUCUGGCUGCUCCGCUUUGCACAUACGGGGGAGGCUCAGGCUGCGAAGGAAGUACUUCUUCUGGAUUCUAAAGCACAACAGACAGAGUUGGAAUGGAUUUCUUCUCCACCCAAUGGGUGGGAAGAAAUUAGUGGUUUGGAUGAGAACUAUACCCCGAUACGAACAUAUCAGGUGUGCCAGGUCAUGGAGCCCAACCAAAACAACUGGCUGCGGACUAACUGGAUUUCGAAAGGCAAUGCACAAAGGAUUUUUGUAGAAUUGAAAUUCACCCUGAGGGAUUGUAACAGUCUUCCUGGAGUACUGGGAACUUGCAAGGAAACCUUUAAUUUGUACUAUUAUGAAACAGACUACGACACUGGCAGGAAUAUAAGAGAAAAUCUCUAUGUAAAAAUAGACACCAUUGCUGCAGAUGAAAGUUUUACCCAAGGUGACCUUGGUGAAAGAAAGAUGAAGCUUAACACUGAGGUGAGAGAGAUUGGACCUUUGUCCAAAAAGGGAUUCUAUCUUGCCUUUCAGGACGUAGGGGCUUGCAUAGCUUUGGUUUCUGUCAAAGUGUACUACAAGAAGUGCUGGUCCAUUAUUGAGAACUUAGCUAUCUUUCCAGAUACAGUGACCGGCUCAGAAUUUUCCUCUUUAGUUGAGGUUCGAGGGACAUGUGUCAGCAGUGCAGAGGAAGAGGCGGAAAACUCCCCCAGGAUGCACUGCAGCGCAGAAGGAGAAUGGUUAGUGCCCAUUGGAAAAUGUAUCUGCAAAGCAGGCUACCAGCAAAAAGGGGACACUUGUGAACCCUGUGGUCGUGGGUUCUACAAAUCUUCCUCUCAAGAUCUUCAGUGCUCUCGUUGUCCAACUCACAGUUUUUCUGAUAAAGAAGGCUCCUCAAGAUGUGAAUGUGAAGAUGGGUAUUAUAGGGCUCCAUCUGACCCACCGUAUGUUGCGUGCACAAGGCCUCCAUCUGCACCACAGAACCUCAUUUUCAACAUCAACCAAACCACAGUAAGUUUGGAAUGGAGUCCUCCUGCAGACAAUGGGGGAAGAAACGAUGUGACCUACCGGAUAUUAUGUAAGCGGUGCAGUUGGGAGCAGGGUGAAUGUGUUCCCUGUGGGAGUAACAUUGGAUACAUGCCCCAGCAGACUGGAUUAGAGGAUAACUAUGUCACAGUCAUGGACCUGCUAGCCCACGCUAAUUACACUUUCGAAGUGGAAGCUGUAAACGGAGUUUCAGAUUUAAGCCGAUCCCAGAGGCUCUUUGCGGCUGUCAGUAUCACCACUGGUCAAGCAGCUCCCUCGCAAGUGAGCGGAGUAAUGAAGGAGAGAGUGCUGCAGCGGAGUGUCGAGCUUUCCUGGCAGGAACCAGAGCAUCCCAAUGGAGUCAUCACGGAAUAUGAAAUCAAGUAUUACGAGAAAGAUCAAAGGGAACGGACCUACUCAACAGUAAAAACCAAGUCCACUUCAGCCUCCAUUAAUAAUCUGAAACCAGGAACAGUGUAUGUUUUCCAGAUUCGGGCUUUUACUGCUGCUGGUUAUGGAAAUUACAGUCCUAGACUUGAUGUUGCUACACUAGAGGAAGCUACAGGUAAAAUGUUUGAAGCAACAGCUGUUUCCAGUGAACAAAAUCCUGUUAUUAUAAUUGCUGUGGUUGCUGUGGCAGGGACCAUCAUUUUGGUGUUCAUGGUGUUUGGCUUCAUCAUUGGAAGAAGGCACUGUGGUUAUAGCAAGGCUGACCAAGAAGGAGAUGAAGAACUUUACUUUCACUUUAAAUUUCCAGGCACCAAAACCUACAUUGACCCUGAAACCUAUGAGGACCCAAAUAGAGCUGUCCAUCAAUUCGCCAAGGAGCUAGAUGCCUCCUGUAUUAAAAUUGAGCGUGUGAUUGGUGCAGGAGAAUUUGGAGAAGUCUGCAGUGGUCGUUUGAAACUUCCGGGGAAAAGAGAUGUUGCGGUAGCCAUAAAAACCCUGAAAGUUGGCUACACAGAAAAACAAAGGAGAGACUUUUUGUGUGAAGCAAGCAUCAUGGGGCAGUUUGACCACCCAAAUGUUGUCCAUUUGGAAGGGGUUGUCACAAGAGGGAAACCAGUCAUGAUUGUAAUAGAAUUCAUGGAAAACGGAGCCCUAGAUGCAUUUCUCAGGAAACACGAUGGGCAAUUUACAGUCAUUCAGUUAGUAGGAAUGCUGAGAGGAAUUGCUGCUGGAAUGAGAUAUUUGGCUGAUAUGGGAUAUGUUCACAGGGACCUCGCAGCUCGCAAUAUUCUUGUCAAUAGCAAUCUUGUUUGUAAAGUGUCAGAUUUUGGCCUGUCCCGGGUUAUAGAAGAUGAUCCAGAAGCUGUCUAUACAACUACUGGUGGAAAAAUUCCAGUAAGGUGGACAGCACCUGAAGCCAUUCAGUACCGGAAAUUUACAUCAGCCAGUGAUGUCUGGAGCUAUGGGAUUGUCAUGUGGGAAGUUAUGUCUUAUGGAGAAAGGCCUUACUGGGACAUGUCAAAUCAAGAUGUUAUAAAAGCAAUAGAAGAAGGUUAUCGCUUACCAGCACCCAUGGACUGCCCAGCUGGUCUCCACCAGUUAAUGCUGGAUUGUUGGCAAAAGGAGCGUGCUGAAAGGCCAAAGUUUGAACAGAUAGUUGGGAUCCUAGACAAAAUGAUUCGAAACCCAAAUAGCCUGAAAACACCCCUGGGAACUUGCAGUAGGCCAAUAAGCCCUCUUCUGGAUCAAAACACUCCUGACUUCACUACCUUUUGUUCAGUUGGAGAAUGGCUACAGGCUAUUAAGAUGGAAAGAUAUAAAGAUAACUUCACAGCAGCUGGCUAUAACUCCCUUGAAUCAGUUGCCAGAAUGACUAUUGAGGAUGUGAUGAGUUUAGGGAUCACACUGGUUGGCCAUCAAAAGAAAAUCAUGAGCAGCAUUCAGACUAUGAGAGCACAGAUGCUACAUUUACAUGGAACUGGCAUUCAAGUGUGAUAAGCAUUUCUCCCGUGUAAGGGAGAUUAUGGACUGGAAGAGAACAGUACUGGCCUUCAGUAUAUGCAGAGAAUGCUGCUACAGGACAGUUGAUGUCCUGGGUCCUUCCUAUGGUGAAGAGAAGAUAGAAGAAGCACCUAUAGACUUGAACUCCUAAGUGCCACCAGAAUAUAUAAAAAGGGAAUUUAGGAUCCACCACUGGUGGCCAGGAAAACAGCAGUGACAAUAAACAAAGUACUACCUGAAAAACAUCCAAACACCUUGAGCUCUCUAACCUCCUUUUUAUCUUAUAGACUUUUUAAAAUGUACAUAAAAAUUUAAGAAAGAAUAUAUUUGUCAAAUAAAAUCAUGAUCUUAUUGUUAAAAUCAAUGAAAUAUUUUCCUUAAAUAUGUGAUUUCAGAUUAUUCCUUUUUAAAAUCAUUUGUGUUUAUUCUUCAUAAGGACUUUAUUUUAGAAAGUUGUUUAUAGCUUUGGACCUUUUUAGUGUUAAAUCUAUGACACAUUACUACACUGGGUACCUUUGAAAGAAUCUCAAAUCAAAAACAAACAAACAAAAAACAGCAUGAUUGAAGGUGUAUCUCUGUUAGAACAUUGGUAUCCUUUUUGUGCCAUUUUAUUAUGUUAAAUCAGUGCUGUUUUGAUAUCAUUUGCUAAUUGGCAGGUAGUCAAGAAAAUACAAGUUGCCAAGAGCUCUAAUAUUUUUUAAAAUAAUUUUUUGUAAAAACCAGACAACACACUAUCUUUUCAAUGAAAAAAAGCAAUAAUAACCCAUAAAUACUAUAAGGCACUUUUAACAGAUUGUUUAUAGAAUGAUUUUACUAGACAGGAUUUAAUAAAGGAAAAUACUCAAAUUUUAGGUUUAUGACAACAUUAAGAAAAAAAAAAAAAGAUGAGGUACUUCACCUGUAGAAUGUUGGUGAAGGCAAUUCUCUGAAAGCAAGAACUAUCCAGUGUUACCUAAAAGUUCAGUUAAUGUGAGCACAUCAAGAGUUUUUCAGUCUCAUGACAUUAGGAAAUUUAGGAGGAAUAGUUGUCAUAUAUUUUAUAUCCUCUUCUGUUGAAUGCAGUCCAAACAUGAGAGGAAAGACUUGAGUUUUAUGUAUGAACUCUGAAGCAUGCUAAAAGGGGCAGUUCACAAUUUUCAACCUUCAUAAACAAAUUUGCUGCACAGAAUAGUACCGUGGCGGUUAACAACAAAACAAAAGAAAAGAAGUCUAUUUGUGAACACUGAUGGAAGAAACUUGUUCCAUGAAAGAAUUCAUCAUUUUACCCUAGAAGGAAGAGGUGAAGGAUCUGGCUUUUUUUUUUUUUAAUCUUUAUUUAUUGAACCAUAUUAUUUGAUUAUUUUGUUAGAAUUUCAUAAGCAAUAAUUAAAUGUGUCUUUAUAGAUAUUUCAGGAAUGUAUACAUAGUGUGAGUAAUGCUUUCAAAAUUUAUGAAAAUCAUGAACUACCCCAGAAUUGAACUGUUGUAUUUCCAAAGAGAAUUGGGCUGUUUAUAAUCAUUUUAAUAGAGAAAGAUCCCAGGGAUCGGUCAUAAUUGGUCUUGUUUGAUAAUGUGGGCAUCCACGAACAAACAACAAAUAACAGAAAUGAAAUCUGUAAAUGUUCCUUUGUAAAACUUGUAAAUUUUAUUUAUACUGUCUUGUUUUGUACACACAUUUCUCUGUAGUGAGCUCUGAAUACAUUGAAAAUGCACUAUAUUUUUCUAUUUUACUUGCAGAGCAUCACAAAAGAACAGGUAUUUUCAGUGCUACAUAAUGUGUUUUCCCACAUUUAGGACCAAAGAUGGCUAUUGAAAAACUCAAAUGGAUUGCUUCCCAAACCCCUCCCUACCUUUUCUUUUUUCCUUUUAACUCACUGUACAGUGUUAUUUGAUAUUUUAAUUUAUUUUUUGAUUGAUUAGAAAAAUCAUUUUAAUUUCACUAAAAUGUUUUUGUCCCUAAGGAAAAAUAAUCUGUACAAAUAAUUUUAAUUAGCAUAAUACAGUCACCUAGACACUUCCAUUUGUAAUCUUUGUAAUAGACUGUAAAUAUAUUUUUGGAACUAUAACACAAUGUGCUUGAGGGUUAUUUUUCAGUGUCUGCAGUGUAUACAAGUGUUUAUACUAAGUACAGCACUUUACAAUUCUAAUCAGUAGCAUUGGCCUUUGUGAGAAUGAGUGAAAGAGUUUGAGUGAGUGUUCUUAAUUCCGUUUGGAUUCUAGACUCACUGAUAAUGAAGUUCUUUUCUUGUUCAUAGCUUAAGGUGCUUAUUUUUUCUAUUAAAAUUAAAUUAACAAAAAGCCAUUCUAGAAAUAGAAGACAUAGUAUGGUACAUGCAAACGGUGUCUUUCCUGCUUUUUUCUAGCACUAGAUUUAUAGUUGAGUAGUCUUUCUUGAGUAGAAGGGCAGAAUAAAAGUUUUUUUGAGUUUUUUUCAAAAAUAACUUUUUCCUUCAGCAAUAUACCUCAUCUGCCUUAAAUUUUUUACAGCUCUUUACAGGGAAAGGGGAGAAGGGAUGGGAAAGACACACAGCACAAUAGGAAGUGUAUGCUCACAGCACGCUCUCGUUUGUAGGUUUCUUUUCCCAAUCAACAUUAUGAUUUUAAAAUACAUGUAUGUGAAACAAAUAUUAAGAGAAAAAGAAUUAACAUUGUAAUGCUGAUUGUAAUACUCUCUUCCAGAAAGAGAUGAAAUGGUAUAAACAAAAAGAAUGUACAACUUGCACCUUGAAAUCUUUUUUUGAUAAAUUAGUGCUCAGGGGAGGAAAAGUAGAGAAAGGAAACGUCAAAAAUAGAACUCCAAAAUUACAAAAAUGCAAAAGGAAAUGGCCUCUUUGCUUUACUAGAGCCACCUUUUUUAGAACGCUGUCUUCACACUUGACCUGUGUUUUGCAUUCAGUACUGAAAUAAAAAUAACUUUGAUUACAUCUGAAUUGAACAUUUUCUCAGCAAUUGAUCUGGGCCUUGUUUACUAGAACUGGUGGUUUAUGCUUGUCAGAGCACUAUUAGUUGAAUCAUAUUGUAUACUUAUGUAAUCUACAUUAGCUAGUACUAUUUAGGACUAUAUUUUAAUUGCUCCUCUUAUCCGUGUUUUUAAGACAAUUAAAAUGGUGUAAUUCACCUCUCUUUUUUAUUUAGGUAAUGCUGAUAUUCUCCUUUUUGUUUCCUGAGUAGCCUAGAACUAUGCUACUCACUGAUGUGCAUGUUGAAAUAAAUUACUGAUGUGUAUUUUUUUGCUCUAUGUGGAGAAGUCAUGGGGAACUUGGGGCGAGAUGUGCUUUUUGUUGGUUGAAUUUGUCCCUCCUUGCCUAAGAAUUACUACAGGGGUCAUCCUUUUAUAAGGACAAACUGCUUUUGAACAGUGUCUUCAAUGUAUCAAGCACAAAUAACUCUUUCUUCAACACGAAUCAUAAGUCUCUUUUU